rnacentral:rRNA from 1 species
CGUACACUCCUGCGGGAGGCAGCAGUGGGGAAUAUUGGACAAUGGGCGCAAGCCUGAUCCAGCCAUGCCGCGUGAGUGAUGAAGGCCCUAGGGUUGUAAAGCUCUUUCACCGGUGAAGAUAAUGACGGUAACCGGAGAAGAAGCCCCGGCUAACUUCGUGCCAGCAGCCGCGGUAAUACGAAGGGGGCUAGCGUUGUUCGGAUUUACUGGGCGUAAAGCGCACGUAGGCGGACUAUUAAGUCAGGGGUGAAAUCCCGGGGCUCAACCCCGGAACUGCCUUUGAUACUGGUAGUCUUGAGUUCGAGAGAGGUGAGUGGAAUUCCGAGUGUAGAGGUGAAAUUCGUAGAUAUUCGGAGGAACACCAGUGGCGAAGGCGGCUCACUGGCUCGAUACUGACGCUGAGGUGCGAAAGCGUGGGGAGCAAACAGGAUUAGAUACCCUAGUAGUCCCAUGA